rnacentral:rRNA from 1 species
UUGGAGUUACCAAGAGGGAGGAUAGGCGAAUCGGACUGGAACGUCCAGCCAUAGCAGGUAACAGCCCUGUAGCCGACAUCCUCCCUCCUCCGGAGUGGAUCCUGAGUACGGCGAAACACGAGAAAUUUCGUCGGAAUCCGGGAGGACCAUCUCCCAAGGCUAAAUACUCCCUGGUAACCGAUAGUGAACCAGUACCGUGAGGGAAAGGUGAAAAGCACCCCGGAAGGGGAGUGAAAGAGAACCUGAAACCGUGUGCCUACAAGUAGUCGGAGCCCGUUAAUGGGUGACGGCGUACCUUUUGUAGAAUGGACCGGCGAGUUACGAUCGGCUGCAAGGUUAAGCACCGUAGGUGUGGAGCCGCAGCGAAAGCGAGUCUGAACAGGGCGUCUCGAGUAGACGGUCGUAGACCCGAAACCGUGUGAUCUACCCAUCUCCAGGGUGAAGGUCAGGUAAUACUGACUGGAGGCCCGAACCCACGUAAGUUGAAAAUUACGGGGAUGAGGGGUGGGUAGGGGUGAAAUGCCAAUCGAACACGGAGAUAGCUGGUUCUCUCCGAAAUAGCUUUAGGGCUAGCCUUCGGCCAGGAGUCCUGGAGGUAGAGCACUGAUUGGAUGAGGGGCCCCUACCGGGUUACCGAGUUCAGUCAAACUCCGAAUGCCAGCGACUCGCGUCGAGGAGUCAGACCAUGGGUGAGAAGGUUCAUGGUCAAGAGGGGAACAGCCCAGACCGUCAGCUAAGGUCCCUAAGUGUGUGUUAAGUGGAAAAGGAUGUGGCGUUGCUUAGACAACCAGGAUGUUAGCUUAGAAGCAGCUAUCAUUGAAAGAGUGCGUAAUAGCUCACUGGUCGAGUGACGCUGCGCCGAAAAUGUACCGGGGCUAAACACACCACCGAAGCUACGGAUUUGCAUCGAUGAUGCAAGUGGUAGGAGAGCGUUCCAGGAGCUGUGAAGUCAGACCGUGAGGACUGGUGGAGCGACUGGAAGUGAGAAUGCCGGUAUAAGUAGCGAAAAAAGAGUGAGAAUCUCUUUCACCGUAAGCCUAAGG